GGGAUGGAAAGACUGCAAGGGACAUUGUUCUGUAAACAGUGGAAGCAGAUGGUGGCAGGUAUGCCAUCGACAGUGGUACCCAUUGCUGAUGCAGCACGCUGAUGUAGGGGAAGAGGCCCUGAACAAAAGCAAAAGCCUCAGGCAUCCAAGGAGGACCCUACUGUGCAUUUUCCAGAUUAUUCCCAAGACUGAACAGAAGUUUUUAGAGUGAUCAGCAAAGUGCACUACAAAGAAAGAAAUCUUGUUCCCAGCACCUUGUGCUACAAACCCAAGCAAAGCAAGUCCCUCACUGCUUCUGUCUACGUAGAGUAUGAGUAUUUUGUUUGGGGUGGGAAUAUGAAGCUCUUAAACCACAUUGGUGUGUUUUGCAAUACUUAAACUAGCUGUGCGUGGUUUGCGAGUUAACGGUAGGAAUCAAAGAAUUCCAGGUGUGGAGGUCUGUGCUGGUUGUCAUUUGCUUUCUGCUGUCUUGGAUUACAUUUUGCCAUGCUCUCAUCUCAGAUUUUAAUAGCCUGAGUUUUUUAGUAUGUUGCUGACUUAUGAAAGCUGAAAUUUCAUCCUGAUGGCAAUAGAUGCCAGGUAUUGUUUAUAAUCUCUAAUUUUCUAACUUAUACCUGACUGUAUAGUGACAAGGUUGCUGUACGACAAAAAUCAUUUCUUUGUUCUCUCAUCAGAAUGAUGCUUAUCUUGAAGAAGGAUUGUUGUUUGAGGCCACAGAAAAUAAGGCAUCCAGGAUGUCUUCUUGACCAGGGCCAGCCACAGAGUUCAAGUGAUGGCUUCCAUAUAUGAUGAACUGACCCAUCCACCAACCAGUGUGACUGAGCAUAAGCAGAGGAGCUCACCAGGCUUCCUGAGCAUCUUGCAGGAGCUGAACUCCCCCAGAACGGUGGCCACAGACAACAGCAUUUUGAUUCUGUGCUUGGGAGGCAGUGUGUAGAGAGCACACAGACACAGUGUAUGUGAUGGGUAUAUUUCUGCAACUUUAUGUCACCUGGGCAGAUGCUUCUAUGCAGGCAAUAGAAAAGUGGAGUUUAGCUAGUUUGCAUCAAAUUGGAUUCCACUGGGAAUGGAACUAUCUUCCAUUGGGUUGGAUUCAUUACUCUUGCCUUAACCAUAUUUACCUUCAG
ensembl:lncRNA